rnacentral:rRNA from 1 species
GAUGAACGCUGGCGGUAUGCUUAACACAUGCAAGUCGAACGGACUCUUCGGAGUUAGUGGCGGACGGGUGGGUAACGCGUGAGAAUCUGGCUUUGGGUUCGGGACAACCACUGGAAACGGUGGCUAAUACCGGAUGUGCCGAGAGGUAAAAGAGAAAUUGCCUGAAGAUGGGCUCGCGUCUGAUUAGCUAGUUGGUGAGGUAAAGGCUCACCAAGGCAGCGAUCAGUAGCUGGUCUGAGAGGAUGACCAGCCACACUGGGACUGAGACACGGCCCAGACUCCGACGGGAGGCAGCAGUGGGGAAUUUUCCGCAAUGGGCGAAAGCCUGACGGAGCAAUACCGCGUGAGGGAAGAAGGCUCUUGGGUUGUAAACCUCUUUUCUUAGGGAAGAACAAAAUGACGGUACCUAAGGAAUCAGCAUCGGCUAACUCCGUG